rnacentral:rRNA from 1 species
UGCAGUCGAGCGGACAGAUGGGAGCUUGCUCCCUGAUGUUAGCGGCGGACGGGUGAGUAACACGUGGGUAACCUGCCUGUAAGACUGGGAUAACUCCGGGAAACCGGGGCUAAUACCGGAUGGUUGUUUGAACCGCAUGGUUCAGACAUAAAAGGUGGCUUCGGCUACCACUUACAGAUGGACCCGCGGCGCAUUAGCUAGUUGGUGAGGUAACGGCUCACCAAGGCGACGAUGCGUAGCCGACCUGAGAGGGUGAUCGGCCACACUGGGACUGAGACACGGCCCAGACUCCUACGGGAGGCAGCAGUAGGGAAUCUUCCGCAAUGGACGAAAGUCUGACGGAGCAACGCCGCGUGAGUGAUGAAGGUUUUCGGAUCGUAAAGCUCUGUUGUUAGGGAAGAACAAGUGCCGUUCAAAUAGGGCGGCACCUUGACGGUACCUAACCAGAAAGCCACGGCUAACUACGUGCCAGCAGCCGCGGUAAUACGUAGGUGGCAAGCGUUGUCCGGAAUUAUUGGGCGUAAAGGGCUCGCAGGCGGUUUCUUAAGUCUGAUGUGAAAGCCCCCGGCUCAACCGGGGAGGGUCAUUGGAAACUGGGGAACUUGAGUGCAGAAGAGGAGAGUGGAAUUCCACGUGUAGCGGUGAAAUGCGUAGAGAUGUGGAGGAACACCAGUGGCGAAGGCGACUCUCUGGUCUGUAACUGACGCUGAGGAGCGAAAGCGUGGGGAGCGAACAGGAUUAGAUACCCUGGUAGUCCACGCCGUAAACGAUGAGUGCUAAGUGUUAGGGGGUUUCCGCCCCUUAGUGCUGCAGCUAACGCAUUAAGCACUCCGCCUGGGGAGUACGGUCGCAAGACUGAAACUCAAAGGAAUUGACGGGGGCCCGCACAAGCGGUGGAGCAUGUGGUUUAAUUCGAAGCAACGCGAAGAACCUUACCAGGUCUUGACAUCCUCUGACAAUCCUAGAGAUAGGACGUCCCCUUCGGGGGCAGAGUGACAGGUGGUGCAUGGUUGUCGUCAGCUCGUGUCGUGAGAUGUUGGGUUAAGUCCCGCAACGAGCGCAACCCUUGAUCUUAGUUGCCAGCAUUCAGUUGGGCACUCUAAGGUGACUGCCGGUGACAAACCGGAGGAAGGUGGGGAUGACGUCAAAUCAUCAUGCCCCUUAUGACCUGGGCUACACACGUGCUACAAUGGACAGAACAAAGGGCAGCGAAACCGCGAGGUUAAGCCAAUCCCACAAAUCUGUUCUCAGUUCGGAUCGCAGUCUGCAACUCGACUGCGNGAAGCNNGAAUCGCUAGUAAUC